GGAGGAAAAGAAACUAACAAGGAUUCCCCUAGUAACGGCGAGUGAAGCGGGAAGAGCUCAAAUUUGUAAGCUGGCGUCGUCUCGGCGUCCGCGUUGUAAGCUCGAGAGCUGUAGUCCGUGCCGGACCGCGUACAAGUCCCUUGGAAUGGGGCAUCGUAGAGGGUGAGAAUCCCGUACUUGACGCGGAAGCCGGUGCUUUGUGAUGCGGCCUCGACGAGUCGAGUUGUUUGGGAAUGCAGCUCCAAAUGGGUGGUAAAUUCCAUCUAAAGCUAAAUAUUGGGGAGAGACCGAUAGCGAACAAGUACCGUGAGGGAAAGAUGAAAAGCACUUCGUUAGGAGGGUUAAACAGUAUGUGAAAUUGUCAGCGCGGAAGGUUACGUCGUCAGUCAUGCUUUGUGGGAUUCAGCCUCGCCUUGUGCUUGGUGUAUUUCCUGCUGCGGCAGGUCAGCAUCGAUUUUGUGGGCCGGAUAAGGGCGUCGGGAAUGUGAUGCACGUUUUACGACGGCGCAUGUUUAUAGCCCGACGCUGGAUACGGCCCGUGGGAUCGAGGAACGCAGUCUCUCGCUUACACAAUCGUCGAGACUUUGGAUGCUGGCGUAAUGGCGACGUGACACCCGUCUUGA
rnacentral:rRNA from 1 species